rnacentral:rRNA from 1 species
GAUGAACGCUGGCGGCGUGCCUAAUACAUGCAAGUCGAGCGAACAGACGAGGAGCUUGCUCCUCUGACGUUAGCGGCGGACGGGUGAGUAACACGUGGAUAACCUACCUAUAAGACUGGGAUAACUUCGGGAAACCGGAGCUAAUACCGGAUAAUAUAUUGAACCGCAUGGUUCAAUAGUGAAAGACGGUUUUGCUGUCACUUAUAGAUGGAUCCGCGCCGCAUUAGCUAGUUGGUAAGGUAACGGCUUACCAAGGCAACGAUGCGUAGCCGACCUGAGAGGGUGAUCGGCCACACUGGAACUGAGACACGGUCCAGACUCCUACGGGAGGCAGCAGUAGGGAAUCUUCCGCAAUGGGGAAAGCCUGACGGAGCAACGCCGCGUGAGUGAUGAAGGUCUUCGGAUCGUAAAACUCUGUUAUUAGGGAAGAACAAAUGUGUAAGUAACUAUGCACGUCUUGACGGUACCUAAUCAGAAAGCCACGGCUAACUACGUG